GAUCCUGGCUCAGGAUGAACGCUAGCGGCAGGCUUAACACAUGCAAGUCGAGGGGCAGCGCGGGAUAGCAAUAUCCUGGCGGCGACCGGCGGAAGGGUUCGUAACGCGUGAGCGACAUGCCCGUUGCCCGGGACAACCGGUGGAAACGCCGACUAAUCCCCGAUGGGAUACGAUGCCUCAUGGCAUUGUAUUGAAAGUUACGGCGGCGACGGAUUGGCUCGCGUCCGAUUAGCUUGUUGGCGGGG
rnacentral:rRNA from 1 species